UUCCAGUGGAGCCGUCCUUGAAAUACCACCCUGGUAAUGUUGAGGUUCUAACUCUGUCCCGUGAUCCGGGACGAGGACCGUGUCUGGUGGGUAGUUUGACUGGGGCGGUCUCCUCCUAAAGAGUAACGGAGGAGUACGAAGGUGCGCUCAGCGUGGUCGGAAAUCACGCGUAGAGUAUAAAGGCAAAAGCGCGCUUAACUGCGAGACCCACAAGUCGAGCAGGUACGAAAGUAGGUCUUAGUGAUCCGGUGGUUCUGUAUGGAAGGGCCAUCGCUCAACGGAUAAAAGGUACUCUGGGGAUAACAGGCUGAUACCGCCCAAGAGUUCAUAUCGACGGCGGUGUUUGGCACCUCGAUGUCGGCUCAUCUCAUCCUGGGGCUGAAGCAGGUCCCAAGGGUAUGGCUGUUCGCCAUUUAAAGAGGUACGCGAGCUGGGUUUAGAACGUCGUGAGACAGUUCGGUCCCUAUCUACCGUGGGCGCUGGAAAUUUGAGAGGAUCUGCUCCUAGUACGAGAGGACCAGAGUGGACGAACCUCUGGUGUACCGGUUGUGACGCCAGUCGCAUCGCCGGGUAGCUAUGUUCGGAAGGGAUAACCGCUGAAAGCAUCUAAGCGGGAAGCCUACCUCAAGAUAAGAUUUCCCUAGGACUUUAUGUCCUCUAAAGAGCCGUUCGAGACUAGGACGUUGAUAGGUUGGAUGUGGAAGCAUAGUGAUAUGUGAAGCUGACCAAUACUAAUUGCUCGUGAGGCUUGACUAUACAACACCCAAGCAGUUG
rnacentral:rRNA from 1 species